rnacentral:rRNA from 1 species
UACGUAGGGUGCUAGCGUUGUCCGGAUUUAUUGGGCGUAAAGAGCGUGUAGGCGGUCAGGUAGGUCCGUUGUGAAAACUCGAGGCUCAACCUCGAGACGCCGAUGGAAACCAUCUGACUAGAGUCCGGAAGAGGAGAGUGGAAUUCCUGGUGUAGCGGUGAAAUGCGCAGAUAUCAGGAAGAACACCCGUGGCUAAGGCGGCUCUCUAGUACGGUACUGACGCUGAGACGCGAAAGCGUGGGGAGCGAACAGG